rnacentral:rRNA from 1 species
UACGAAGGGGGCUAGCGUUGUUCGGAAUCACUGGGCGUAAAGCGCUCGUAGGCGGAUCUUUAAGUCAGAGGUGAAAUCCCAAGGCUCAACCUUGGAACUGCCUUUGAUACUGGGGAUCUCGAGUCCGGGAGAGGUGAGUGGAACUGCGAGUGUAGAGGUGAAAUUCGUAGAUAUUCGCAAGAACACCAGUGGCGAAGGCGGCUCAC